AGGGCACCACCAGGGGGGGAGCCUGGGGCUUAAUUUGACUCAACACGGGAAAACUUACCCGGCCCGGACACUGGAGGGAUUGACAGAUUGAGAGCUCUUUCUUGAUUCAGGGGGGGGGGGUGCAUGGCCGUUCUUAGUUGGUGGAGCGAUUUGUCUGGUUAGUUCCGAUAACGAACGAGACUCUAGCCUACUAAAUAGACCAGUGGCUUCCUAAAACACGUCACUGGCCGCUUCUUAGAGGGACAGGCGGCGGUUCAGCCGCGCGAAACAGAGGAAUAUCAGGUCUGUGUUGUCCUUAGAUGUCCGGGGCCGCACGCGCGCUACACUGAAGUGAUCAGCGUGCUUGAGUGAACCUGGUCGGCCACGACUGGAUAACCCAAUGAACCUUCUUCGUGAUUGGGAUAGGGGAUUGUAAUUAUUCCCCUUGAACGAGGAAUUCCCAGUAAGCGCGAGUCAUAAGCUCGCGUUGAUUACGUCCCCGCCCUUUGUACACACCGCCCGUCGCUACUACCGAUUGAA
rnacentral:rRNA from 1 species